AGAGCGAACGCUGGCGGCAGGCCUAACACAUGCAAGUCGAGCGCCCCGCAAGGGGAGCGGCAGACGGGAGAGUAACACGUGGGAACGUACCCUUCAGUUCGGAACAACCCAGGGAAACUUGGGCUAAUACCGGAUACGUCCGUAAGGAGAAAGAUUUAUCGCUGAAGGAUCGGCCCGCGUCUGAUUAGCUUGUUGGUGAGGUAACGGCUCACCAAGGCUACGAUCAGUAGCUGGUCUGAGAGGAUGAUCAGCCUCACUGGGACUGAGACACGGCCCAGACUCCUACGGGAGGCAGCAGUGGGGAAUAUUGGACAAUGGGCGCAAGCCUGAUCCAGCCAUGCCGCGUGGAUGAUGAAGGCCUUAGGGUUGUAAAAUCCUUUCGACGGGGAAGAUAAUGACGGUACCCGUAGAAGAAGCCCGGCUAACUUCGCGCCAGCAGCCGC
rnacentral:rRNA from 1 species